UACCUUUGGUAAGACUGGUCCCCUAUCCUUCAGCCAGGUUGAGUUUCUCAGGGAAACCUCUGUUUCUCCUUUGUAGCAUUUCUCAUCAGGGAAAUUCAAUAGUUAUGCGAUCUGUUACAUGUCUGUCUUCCUACUAGGUCAUUAACUUCAUGAGAACAGUGACCGCAUCUGCCCGUAAAGAUACGGCUGUAUCCUUAUCACUUAGCACAGUGCCAGAUACACAGUAAGAAAGAACAAAAGGAAACAAACCUGUACCUGUUCUUUGGUAACAAGAAGAAUGGACCGGAAACUCAUCUCACCCCUCCCAGGGCACUGAUGGGAAUGAAGUAGACAGAAUGAGGAAAAGGAAUGGGAUAGGAGGAAGAAAGGGAGAGUGACACUUCUCUCCAAGUAUACUUUCUCACGUAUUCUCUUCAAGCCAUGUCAAUACACCACACACUCAUUAAAGCAAAGAAAUAAUUGAAACCAACUGGGAUGCAUAGGCAAUUCACAAUGGAAUACAAACAAUGAGCCUGGUUUCUCUUUUGUUUUGUUUGUUGGUUUGUUUUUUGUUUUUGUUUUUUUUCCAAAUGAGUAACAUACCCACACUGAAGCAAAGGGAGAAGAAGAAAAUAUAGUAACUGGUAAACAGUAUCUUGACUAUAUAGUAAAAGGCUAAAGACAGCACUGUACAGAAGUGGGUGAAUAACUGAAACUAUUUAUACUAGGAAAGGGCAAAAAAAGUAAAUAUACUGUACAAAAUGA